GCAUAUCAAUAAGCGGAGGAAAAGAAACCAACAGGGAUUGCCCCAGUAACGGCGAGUGAAGCGGCAACAGCUCAAAUUUGAAAUCUGGCCUUCGGGUCCGAGUUGUAAUUUGGAGAGGAUGCUUUUGGCGCGGCGCCGUCCGAGUUCCUUGGAACAGGACGCCAUAGAGGGUGAGAGCCCCGUACGGGCGGCCGCCUAGCCUUUGUAAAGCUCCUUCGACGAGUCGAGUAGUUUGGGAAUGCUGCUCAAAAUGGGAGGUAAAUUUCUUCUAAAGCUAAAUACCGGCCAGAGACCGAUAGCGCACAAGUAGAGUGAUCGAAAGAUGAAAAGCACUUUGAAAAGAGGGUUAAAAAGUACGUGAAAUUGUUGAAAGGGAAGCGCCUGUGACCAGACUUGCGACCCGUGGAUCAUCCGGUGUUCUUCACCGGUGCACUCCGCGGGCUGCAGGCCAGCAUCGGUUUUCCUAGGGGGAUAAAGGUCGCAGGAACGUAGCUCUUUCGGGAGUGUUAUAGCCUGUGGCGUCAUGCCUCUGGGGAGACCGAGGACCGCGCUUCGGCAAGGAUGCUGGCGUAAUGGUCACCGGCGACCCGUCUUGAAACACGGACCAAGGAGUCAAGCAUUGGGGCGAGUGUCUGGGUGCCAAACCCGCACGCGAAAUGAAAGUAAACGCAGGUGAGAGCUUCGGCGCAUCACCGACCGAUCCUGAUGUCUUCGGAUGGAUUUGAGUAAGAGCCUUACCGCUUGGACCCGAAAGAUGGUGAACUAUGCCUGUAUAGGGUGAAGCCAGAGGAAACUCUGGUGGAGGCUCGCAGCGGUUCUGACGUGCAAAUCGAUCGUCAAAUAUGGGCAUGGGGGCGAAAGACUAAUCGAACCAUCUAGUAGCUGGUUACCGCCGA
rnacentral:rRNA from 1 species